rnacentral:rRNA from 1 species
AUUGAACGCUGGCGGCAGGCCUAACACAUGCAAGUCGAACGCGUGGCGGACGGGUGAGUAAUGUCUGGGAAACUUCCCGCUGGAGGGGGAUAACUCAUGGAAAAGGUAGCUAAUACCGCAUACCCUCUUAUGUUCCCAGAUGGGAUUAGCUCGUGGGUGGGGUAACGGAUCACCUAGGCGACGAUCCCUAGCUGGUCUGAGAGGAGGACCAGCAACACGGGAACUGAGACACGGUCCAGACUCCUACGGGAGGCAGCAGUGGGGAAUAUUGCACAAUGGGCGCAAGCCUGAUGCAGCCAUGCCGCGUGUAUGAAGAAGGCCUUCGGGUUGUAAAGUAAUUUCAGCGAGGAGGCGUUACUCGCAGAAGAAGCACCGGCUAACUCCGUGCCAGCAGCCGCGGUAAUAC